UUGUGGCAUAAUAAUGUUGAAGUAGAGAUUGGUCAGAGACGGUGUACCACGUGGACCAAUUUACUGCCGCAGAACCUUCGUCUUUAGGUACUACUACUACUCGGUAUAAUUUUUACUAUCAUCUAUAAUUUUAGUCUAAGAUACCAUAUAAAAAAACUUUAUGGUUCUUUAAUAAGAUUUUAUUAUUUUUUAAAAUUACAUAUAAUAUAAAAAACUUUUAAGAUUUUAUAAAACACUUUAGUAAAAAAACCUAAAUUAUAUAUUUUUGUUAUCUCAAUAAUAUCAUUUUUUUUGUUUUCCACAGGUAUCCUCGCACUGUAGGCAAUCCUUCCUAGCCGAGAACAUCCACAGGUAUGUGGGGCUAACUCUCCCAUUAGACAUUUUUUACUCCACAAGACUCGAACCCGAGACCUUACUUAGGAGGAAUCAAGCAUGUACCACUUGAACCAGCG
rnacentral:lncRNA from 1 species